rnacentral:lncRNA from 1 species
AGGGGGAGUAAAAGCAAAAAUCGCUAGCGCCGCAUAAGUUGUCUUCCUCAUCCAGAUUCCAAAAAGAAAAAAAAGGUGUGAAAUUAUCUUCUUCUUUGAUUUUCUUUUCCUCCAUAGCUCCAUUAGCUCCAUAACACAUUAAACUCAUGACUGUCGACCACAUCCAUAGCCACCGUUUUUAUCACCUGCGUCGAACAUCGAAAUCCCAUAGCCACCGUUUUUAUCACCUGCGUCGAACAUCGAAAUCCCAUAGUCACCGGAGAUGCAACUCUGAUGCCGGAGGUCUUUCUGCCUCAUUUCCUCUCUCCCUCAUCUCCUUAUUUUUUCAUUUUGGUUCUUUCAUGGAGUAAAUACUAGAUUUGGCCGAGUUUUUUGGUUUUUGGCCGAGAAAUAACAUUUCCGGCAGCCACAUACUAUUGUCGUACAUUUUGGCCGGAGUCACAACCUUCGCCAGUGACCUUAUUGCCUUUCUGGUAGCCCGGUGCUUUGUCUCUGUUUUUGUCAUAUUUUCCGGUGAGCUCCGAGUUUGUCGAGGUCCCCCGGUUCGAGUUUUCCGUUUAGUUGGUGACUCGGGUAGUGUUUGAGUUAUAUCGGUACUCUCUUCCUCGAUGUAUUCAGAGAAAUUCAAUAUUUAAACAAAUUUCAAAG